rnacentral:rRNA from 1 species
AGGACGAACGCUGGUGGCGUGCUUAACACAUGCAAGUCGAGCGGAAAGGCCCUUCGGGGUACUCGAGCGGCGAACGGGUGAGUAACACGUGAGUAAUCUGCCCCUAGCUCUGGGAUAGCUCCGGGAAACCGGGAUUAAUACCGGAUACGACCACCUUAGACAUCUUUUGUGGUGGAAAGAAUUUCGGCUAGGGAUGAGCUCGCGGCCUAUCAGCUUGUUGGUGGGGUAACGGCCUACCAAGGCGACGACGGGUA